CCCGCUGAACUUAAGCAUAUUAUUAAGCGGAGGAAAAGAAACUAACAAGGAUUCCCCUAGUAACGGCGAGUGAAGCGGGAAUAGCUCAAUUUUAAAAUCUCCAUGUCUUGUUACAUGGCGAAUUGUAAUUUAUAGAAGCAUUUUCUAGGAUGACCUUGGUAUAAAUCCCUUGGAAUGGGGUAUCAUAGAGGGUGAGAAUCCCGUCUUUGACCGAGUGUUUCAUUCUUUUACGAUAUGCUUUCUUAGAGUCGGGUUGUUUGGGAAUGCAGCCCAAAAUGGGUGGUAGAUUUCAUCUAAAGCUAAAUAUUGGCAUGAGACCGAUAGCGAACAAGUACCGUGAGGGAAAGAUGAAAAGAACUUUGAAAAGAGAGUUAAAAGUACGUGAAACCGCCAAAAGGGAAACGAUUAGAACUAGCAAAAUUGUAUUGUGGCAAAUCAAAUAUUACUAGAAUGAACAUUUUACAAUAAGAGUAGCAAUACCUCUAUUGUAUUAUGCCUUUUGUUUUAUUAAUGUUGCACUUUGUCAUGAUUACGAGUCAACAUUAGUUUUUUAUAUAGGAUAAUACUAUUAAGAAGGUGGCCAUUUUGAACUCUUUUGUUUAAAGUGGUGUUAUAGCUUAAUAGUCGAUACUAUAUAGGGAGACUAAGGUAGCUGCAGAAUAUGCUCUCUUUUUGGGCUAGAUUAUUAAUUCUAUUAGUUGAAUGCAUUGAUUGGACUGUUCGUCAGUGUUUUCAGUGUGUAUUUGAUUAACUAGUUAUUAAUAUAUCAUACAUAUAUUCUAAAGAUGUUGACAAAAUAGUUUUAACCGACCCGUCUUGAAACACGG
rnacentral:rRNA from 1 species